GAUGAACGCUGGCGGCGUGCUUAACACAUGCAAGUCGAGCGAAGCACUUAAGUUCGAUUCUUCGGAUGAAGACUUUUGUGACUGAGCGGCGGACGGGUGAGUAACGCGUGGGUAACCUGCCUCAUACAGGGGGAAAACAGUUAGAAAUGGCUGCUAAUACUGCAUAAGACCACAGUACUGCAUGGUACAGUGGUAAAAACUCCGGUGGGAUGAGAUGGACCCGCGUCUGAUUAGGUAGUUGGUGAGGUAACGGCCCACCAAGCCGACGAUCAGUAGCCGACCUGAGAGGGUGACCGGCCACAUUGGGACUGAGACACGGCCCAGACUCCUACGGGAGGCAGCAGUGGGGAAUAUUGCACAAUGGGCGAAAGCCUGAUGCAGCGACGCCGCGUGAAGGAUGAAGUAUUUCGGUAUGUAAACUUCUAUCAGCAGGGAAGAAAAUGACGGUACCUGACUAAGAAGCCCCGGCUAACUACGUGCCAGCCGCCGCAGUAA
rnacentral:rRNA from 1 species